AAAAUUGCGGGGCUCAACCUCGUCGAGCCGUUGAAACUGGGUGCCUUGAGUGGGCGAGAAGUACGCGGAAUGCGUGGUGUAGCGGUGAAAUGCAUAGAUAUCACGCAGAACUCCGAUUGCGAAGGCAGCAUACCGGCGCCCUACUGACGCUGAGGCACGAAAGCGUGGGUAUCGAACAGGAUUAGAUACCCUGGUAGUCCACGCAGUAAACGAUGAAUGCUAACUGUCCGGUGCGAGUGAGCGCUGGGCGGUACAGCGAAAGCGUUAAGCAUUCCACCUGGGGAGUACGCCGGCAACGGUGAAACUCAAAGGAAUUGACGGGGGCCCGCACAAGCGGAGGAACAUGUGGUUUAAUUCGAUGAUACGCGAGGAACCUUACCCGGGCUCAAACGCAGGCUGACGGGUCCCGAAAGGGGCCUUUCUUCGGACAUUCUGCGAGGUGCUGCAUGGUUGUCGUCAGCUCGUGCCGUGAGGUGUCGGCUUAAGUGCCAUAACGAGCGCAACCCCUGUCCACAGUUGCCAGCAGGUAAAGCUGGGGACUCUGUGGAGACUGCCGGCGCAAGCUGCGAGGAAGGCGGGGAUGACGUCAAAUCAGCACGGCCCUUACGUCCGGGGCGACACACGUGUUACAAUGGCAGGUACAGCGGGAUGCCACGGGGCGACCCGGCGCUGAACCCGAAAACCUGUCUCAGUUCGGAUUGGAGUCUGCAACCCGACUCCAUGAAGCUGGAUUCGCUAGUAAUCGCGCAUCAGCCACGGCGCGGUGAAUACGUUCCCGGGCCUUGUACACACCGCCCGUCAAGCCAUGGAAGCCGGGGGUACCUGAAGUGCGUGACCGCGAGGAGCGCCCUAGGGUAAAACCGGUGACUGGGGCUAAGUCGUAACAAGGUAACCGUAA
rnacentral:rRNA from 1 species